CAGCCGCCGCGGGAAUACAGAGGGUGCGAGCGUUAAUCGGAUUUACUGGGCGUAAAGCGUGCGUAGGCGGCUUCUUAAGUCGGAUGUGAAAUCCCUGAGCUUAACUUAGGAAUUGCAUUCGAUACUGGGAAGCUAGAGUAUGGGAGAGGAUGGUAGAAUUCCAGGUGUAGCGGUGAAAUGCGUAGAGAUCUGGAGGAAUACCGAUGGCGAAGGCAGCCAUCUGGCCUAAUACUGACGAUGAGGUACGAAAGCAUGGGGAGCAAACAGGAUUAGAUACCCCCGUAGUCCCUGUCUCUUAUAC
rnacentral:rRNA from 1 species